UGCAGUCGAACGAUGAUGCCCAGCUUGCUGGGUGGAUUAGUGGCGAACGGGUGAGUAACACGUGAGUAACCUGCCCCUGACUCUGGGAUAAGCGUUGGAAACGACGUCUAAUACUGGAUAUGACUGCCGGCCGCAUGGUCUGGUGGUGGAAAGAUUUUUUGGUUGGGGAUGGACUCGCGGCCUAUCAGCUUGUUGGUGAGGUAAUGGCUCACCAAGGCGACGACGGGUAGCCGGCCUGAGAGGGUGACCGGCCACACUGGGACUGAGACACGGCCCAGACUCCUACGGGAGGCAGCAGUGGGGAAUAUUGCACAAUGGGCGAAAGCCUGAUGCAGCAACGCCGCGUGAGGGAUGACGGCCUUCGGGUUGUAAACCUCUUUUAGUAGGGAAGAAGGGAGCUUGCUCUUGACGGUACCUGCAGAAAAAGCACCGGCUAACUACGUGCCAGCAGCCGCGGUAAUACGUAGGGUGCAAGCGUUGUCCGGAAUUAUUGGGCGUAAAGAGCUCGUAGGCGGUUUGUCGCGUCUGCUGUGAAAUCCCGAGGCUCAACCUCGGGCUUGCAGUGGGUACGGGCAGACUAGAGUGCGGUAGGGGAGAUUGGAAUUCCUGGUGUAGCGGUGGAAUGCGCAGAUAUCAGGAGGAACACCGAUGGCGAAGGCAGAUCUCUGGGCCGUAACUGACGCUGAGGAGCGAAAGCAUGGGGAGCGAACAGGAUUAGAUACCCUGGUAGUCCAUGCCGUAAACGUUGGGCGCUAGAUGUAGGGACCUUUCCACGGUUUCUGUGUCGUAGCUAACGCAUUAAGCGCCCCGCCUGGGGAGUACGGCCGCAAGGCUAAAACUCAAAGGAAUUGACGGGGGCCCGCACAAGCGGCGGAGCAUGCGGAUUAAUUCGAUGCAACGCGAAGAACCUUACCAAGGCUUGACAUACACCGGAAACGGCCAGAGAUGGUCGCCCCCUUGUGGUCGGUGUACAGGUGGUGCAUGGUUGUCGUCAGCUCGUGUCGUGAGAUGUUGGGUUAAGUCCCGCAACGAGCGCAACCCUCGUUCUAUGUUGCCAGCGCGUUAUGG
rnacentral:rRNA from 1 species